GACGAACGCUGGCGGCGUGCUUAACACAUGCAAGUCGAACGGAAAGGCCUGCUUUCCCUUGUGGAUUGCGGGUACUCGAGUGGCGAACGGGUGAGUAACACGUGAGUGAUCUGCCCCCAACUUGGGUAUAAGCCUGGGAAACUGGGUCUAAUUCCCGAUAGGACUGCAGGGUGGUGCCUGUGGUGGAAAACGAUUUUCUAGUGGUUGGGGAUGAGCUCGCGGCCUAUCAGCUUGUUGGUGGGGUAAUGGCCUACCAAGGCGGCGACGGGUAGCCGGCCUGAGAGGGUGGACGGCCACAUUGGGACUGAGAUACGGCCCAGACUCCUACGGGAGGCAGCAGUGGGGAAUAUUGAACAAUGGGCGGAAGCCUGAUGCAGCGACGCCGCGUGGGGGAUGACGGCCUUCGGGUUGUAAACUCCUUUCGACAGCGAGGAAGCCACCUGGUUGGAAGGGUGGUGACGGUAGUGGUAGAAGAAGCACCGGCUAACUACGUG
rnacentral:rRNA from 1 species